rnacentral:lncRNA from 1 species
GGAGAAAUUGGGUUUCUAUGAGAAGCAGAUUGUAGGUUUUCUAAACCCAAGCAGAUACAGGAAGCCUAUUCCUAAUCUACAGCAAGGACAACUUCCCCAACCUCAUAUUCAACCUAUGCAGCAACCCCAAUCUCAAGUUCCUCAAUUGCAGUCCCAUGAAAAUCAACUGAAUCCCCAGUUGCAAUCAAUGAAUAUGCAAGGUUCUGUACCAAAGAUGCAGCAGAACAAUAUGUCAAGCUUGCUGCAUAAUUCGCUUUCAACUUUAUCUGGGGAUUCGACGUCACAAUCAAACAUGAUGAAUCCAAUACAACCAGGCUCCAAUUUAGAUUCUGGACAAGGAAAUGCACUGAGCUCAUUGCAGCAGACACCUGUAGGAUCUGUACAACAGAAUCUCGUGAGCAUUUCCCAACCAACCCAAUGUUAACACAUUGUCAACACAAAGUGGGGCGAGUAUGCUGCAGCCAAAUAUUCCCCUUCAGUCGAAUCCAAUGAUUCAACACCAGCAUCUAAAACAGCAGCAGCAGCAGCAUGAACAACAGAUGCUACAAACACAACAGCUUAAACGAUUGCAGCAACACCAGAAUUUAAUGCAGAAUCAACAGAUGCAGCAGCAGCAGCAAUUACACCAGCAAGCUCCAUCUCCUAUGCCAGGAGAUUCUGACAAACCAGUUUCUGGUAUUUCCUCACUCUUAAAUACUGGAAAUAUUGUACACCAACCAUCUGUUGCACAAGCACUGGCUCCCUCCCUUGCAAUUGGCACUCCUGGGAUAUCUGCAUCACCUUUGCUUGCAAACUUUACCAGUCCUGAUGGUGCUCAUGGCGGUGCUUUGACAACUGUUUCUGGCAAGUCAAAUGUUACAGAGCAACCACUUGAGUACUUGAUUGAAGCGGUUAGUGAUGCUCUCCUUUUGGUUUUACUCCACCCCACCCUUAUUUUGGAGGUUUCUGAAAAAGAAAACUUCUUUGUGAAUGAGAUGGUGAUGCUGUAAUUUUUUUUCCCAGGUGAAAUCUCUGUCUCCCAAAGCACUUAGUGCAUCUGUCGGUGACAUUGGCUCCGUUUCAGUAUGAUUGACAGAAUUGCUGGUUCUGCAGCUGGUAAUGGAUCUAGAGCUGCAGCCGGUGAGGAUUUGGUAGCAAUGACAGGAUGUCAUCUUCUUUCCUUUUUGUCUUUUAUAUUUUUCACGUGUUUCUCACAAGAUGGAACUCGAGGGAAUAAAAAGUGCUGCUGGAACUUCUUGUGUAACACAUCUUCUUUCGAUGAUGACCUCUUGGAUGGCUGCAUGAAGCUUGUUCCGCUUUAAAUUUCAAGGUUAAUCUAUUGCUAUGAGCACUGGUGUUUCAAUUUGAAACUUGAGUUGCAACUGAACUUAAAUGAAUGGUGUUGGAUUUGGGGCCUUCUAUUAGUUUUAACUUGUACAGGGUUGAAGUGAUAUUAAUCUUAAUAGUGUAUGGUUUCCUAGUUUCUCAGUCUGAAGUUGAAUGUUUUGGUGAUAUCUCGACAUCCAAAAUCACAUAGACAGCUACUGCUGGCACUUGCAGUAGCCAAUGAGCACUGUAGAGUAUAUAUUGCAGCGUGAGAUAAGGUUACGUCAUUGCAUUUUCAUAAAUUAAAGGGAUUUCUCUUCUUUUCUUUGUCAAUUACAGUGCUAUUGUAAUGUUUUCACAGAGUCCCCCCGGUUUGCAACUAAUUCACUUAUAUAUCUUGGAGCAUAGCCAUAGCCAUAAAUGGAAGGUUCUUCCGGUUCAAGAAAAUUAACCACGAAGCUCGUAACUAGAAUGGCCACGUAAACUCCUAUAUCCUGUUAUCUAGAACCUUAUUUAAUCUGCUGUGAUGAAACAUAAGCUAUAGGGUCAAGCCUGAUAUUAUUAGUGAAGUUUUUUUUUGUUUUUUUGUGAUAGGAACAUUAAAGAAAAAAAGUAUCCGGCUGGUUCAUGUGCGAAAAUAUGAGGCAUGUUAAGCAAUUGGACCAGACUAUCACAUAUCAAAAUCAUAUGUUUCAAUGAUACUUGUUGCAAGAGUCUCCUUAAACAAUCCAAUGUGCUUUACUUGAUAUGUUUUUUUUUUUUAAUCUCAUUUGAGUAACACAAUUGAGGUACCCUUUUCAGUUCAUUCGUAAAUCUUUCCAAAACUGAAAUUUUGGCAGGUAACUUUUGAUGGGUCAUUGGUGAUUGUAUUAAUUUGGCUACAUAAAUAGUGCAUACUGUGAAAUGAUGUUUGCUGGAGCAAUGGGGCUGGAUGAAGGAGGGGAUUUUCGAGCUCAACGAAGCAGUGGAUGUCUGGUGCAGCAGCUGCUCCAGAUGGUCCUCACUAUUGGGGCAGCCUAUCGAGAUUGUUUUCAGGGACUUUUUUAAAGACAUUGAAAACUACAAUCUUGCUUUGAUUAGUGUCAAAUCUAAGCUAAGAAAUCAUGGUUUUGUUAAGCUUUGCUAUCAUCAGAGGCUUGAUAAUGGAAGGAUUAUUGUACUCUCUUACAUACACAUAAUGUUGUGCUGAUGAGCCAAAGAAGUUCUCCAUAGACUCGCCAACUAAGAGGAAGUUAUCGACAUCCUCCUCAUGUUAUAACAUGAUUAAGUAAAGGUAAGAUAAAAACAGUUAAAAGAUGAAUAUGAAGUUUAAAAUGAAGGGGAGAAAGCAAACCCUAAACUCAUAAGGAUCCAUUAAUCAAAUUUAGCAUGGGUUUUGAUGAUAGGGAAACAUCUGAUUAGAUGUGGCACUUAUUUGAUAAAAUAUUUGUAAGAAGAGUGAAAUAACAUUGCAAUGAUAACUGAGACGCAUAUAAUUACUUUUCAGAAUCUAAAAAAAAAAGAUUAACAAACAUCUUAUGCCAUUCAUGACCAUAUUAUAAAUUUUGAGGACUUAAAAGGUCUAUAAGUGCCAACAUUUGUCUAACAACAGCAGCAACAACGACCUAGACAAAAACUCCCUGAAACUUAAUCAUGUUAAUUUUCAAUAACGAAGAGGUUUUACAUGGUUAAGCAUGAACUCAACCAUAUUAAAAAAUCUGGACAGCCCCACUGCAAGAUGUUCAAUUCGUGCUUCGUACGUAAAAGAAAUACAAAGAUUCAGAUCCAUCCUAAAAACACACAUAACUUAUCAACCUCAACCUACAGGCAAACAAAGGUUGAAACUGAGGUAAGACAUCUAAAGCAAAAGGACAUUUCAGCCUCUGUUUUUCCUGACAUUUUUUUUCAUCAAGUGACCUCUUCAAAGACCUGCUGUAACAUAUAUGUAUGACCAACACAAACAAACAUGCAAAAAGAAAUUUUUUCAGGGGAACCCAAGUCGAAAAAACUUUUUAAAAAAGUGUUGUCUUCGAAAUCAAAGCCUUCUAUCAUCAUAUGAAAUUUUUUUAAAAGGAAAAUCCUCGUACAACCUAACACAAAGCAAGAAUCCAACAAAAUCAAAGACUAAUGAAAAGAAAGACCAAAGAACUGAAAACAAACCAAGGCUGGAAUUAAGGGAAGAAUCUAAAGCAAAAUGAAACUCCAGCCUCUUAUUUCCGCGGCACAAAGUUUUUUCCUCACCCAAGUUACCUCUAGAAAAACCUGUUGCAAUAUAUAUAUAUAUAUAUGGAUAAGCAACAUAAAUAAACAAGCAAAAACUAAAACUUUUUUAAGGAAACCCAUGUCGAAAAAACCAUAAAGACAAUGUUGCCUUUAAAAGCAAAGCUUUCUAUCAUCUCUAAAGGUAAAAAGAUGUGUUCCCAAGCACAAAAGAAAUAUUUUUUUCUGAGGGAAAAAACUUUAACAACCUAAUACAAAUCAAGCACCUAGCCUAGCCAAAACAAUUGAAGAAAAAAGGUCGAUCUAGACUUUUCCCAAACACGUAGCAUGCAAGAAACACAUGUAAAGAAAACCAAGUAAACUUCCUUUCAAGACACGUGCCACCUUGUGCGAAACAAAGACAACACCACCUCUAUAAAGAAUGGAUAAUAGAGGGCUGAAGCUAACCAAAAGACUAUGCCCAAGAAACCUCAUAACUGUAGCAAAAAAGGCAGCCAAAGCCUCAAUAAACACACAUAUAGCCUAACAAUGCAACAAAAAACAGAGAGACAAUCAACAAAGAGUAAGGCAUUUUCCGAAGAAACAAAGAAAUUUAAUACCCUAAACUAAGCAGCAGGUAGAAGGCAAAAACUGAGCGUAAAUUUUCAGGAAGGGACGAACAAAAAACACCAAAAAGAAGGUAGAGAAAAAUGCAGACUCAAAUUCACAACACCCAUUUUCUUUUCAUUGGAACACUUUAGAUAGUUUAUUAAAUUUAUAAUGAUCUGAUUUCUAUGCAUAUAUAAAAAUCAACUUAAUGAUCAACUCUCUAUAAUUUCAGCAUGACUAAAAAAUCCAAACUAAUAAACUAUUAAUUAUUUUAGUCAUUUUAAUAAACAUUUUAGUUAUAAAGUGACAAAAUAUUUUCAACAAUUCAUAUUGAUGCAUUAACAUGUAAUUUUAGAUUGUUUAACUUAUUAGUUUCUUUAUGAGUUACUUAUUGUAAAGCAUGUUAUAUAUCUCUAAGCAUUUUUAUUUAAUAUAAUUAUGUCAAAUUCAUUUUUGCCCGAUGUAUAAUAUAAAAUAUUCAUGGCUUUAGCAUUUAUGAAAAGUAACUUUUUAUCGUUGUCCGUAUAUUUACUUAUAGUUUUAGAAAUUUCAAUACUAUUUUCAAUUUUUAUAGGUCCAUGAGAUCUAUUUUGUAUGGAUAACUACAAAUUAAAAUAAAUAGAUUCACGAUAAAUUAUCAUAAAACAAUUUAUUACCUACUCCUUGGUGCUAGCAAUGUAAUUGUAAUAUUAUUUUUCAAGCUUACUCAAUCUCUGAUUCUUGAUAACACAACCAAGAAUAAAUGAUGAACUCAAAUUUUUAUGUUACUCUCUGUAAGAAUUUUGACUCAAGAAAUGUAAAAGAGAAGAGUUUUAAAAAGAUUAGAAGUUUUCUUCAUUAUCAAAACUAUGUCAGAAUUUCUCUUUUUAUAGGUAAUUUUGACAUUUAAUUUUAAAAUAACUUUUAAGACAAAAGAUUACAACUUUCUAGUUUAAAAGUAUACGAAUAUAUUUCAAGUAGAGUUUUAACAAACAUAACUUUUCAUCCACAUCCUAACAAUCCCUCCACGUGAUAAAAUAAAAUACAAAGUAGAUACGAAAAUAGAAAGUAGGAGCGAAAAGUCAUUGCAUCGAGCAAGAUAGGUUUUGACCUUGAACCUUCCAUAGUCGAACUAUUGGAUUCACUCGGCUAACCAGCGAAUAUGAUGUCUUGAGUUGUUUAGCUGUUUGUGUGAAACCAAAUAAUAGAGAUUACACAAUUCAUUUUCUUAUAAUUUUGGUUCUCACAGUUAUAUUCAUUUUGGCCUUGAAUACGUCUUGAUUUCAAAGAGCAUUAGAGAAUUUGCAUUAUCAAUUCUCAUAGAAGUGGUCUCGUUUCAAACUCACAUAGGUAAUUCUUAUUAAGAGUAUCAUGUAAUACUUCUCAAGCUAUAAAAGUCAUUAAAAGCUUAGCUUAUCCUAUUUUUGCUGCUGAUAGCACUUUAUAUAAUAUAAAUGGGUAAGAGGGACACUAUUGAAUUGACAUAUGAUUUGGUUGUCUAUUUGAACCUAGAACUUGAAAUCUCCAAUAAACUAGAUAAUUCAUUGAACUAUCUUAAUCUCAUUCUCCUUAGUGAUUAUCGACUUGCUCUAUUGUUAAGUAUUUUAUUAGCGAAUCCAUGAUAUUAUCAUUUAACUUUACAUGGUCAAUAAAGAUAAUCUCAUUUUAGAUCGAUUAUCUUACAAUAUUGACAAUUGUAUCAAUAUAUAUAUAUAUAUUAUACCCUUUCAAUUGCAAAUUAGCUAUUGAAAAAUUACAAUAUUAUUUCUUGAUUUACUCAAUAUUUUUAUUUUUGAUAUUACAUCCAAGAAUAAAUAAUAAGCCAUAAUUUAUCUGAUAUUUUCUAUAAAAAAUUGGAUAAAAAAAAUAUAAUAAAAAAUGAGAUAUUUUAUUUUAUUUUAUUAGAUACAACAGAGUGUGCAACGAAAACAUGGUGGUAUUUAUUGAUUUUUGAAGUGGACUUUAAAUGAUAGUUUAAGAAAUGAAAUUUUGGAGAUAAGUUUUGAAUAAUUUGUUUGAUCAUGAUGGUAAGACUUCGGUUCUUAAAGUUUAAAUUUGAGGACGAAUUUUGUUUAACGGGGGAAGUGUUGUAAGACCCAAACUUUUGGCCCAAACCUAAGCCCAAGUCAGCCCAAACCCAACCUAAGUUAACCUAGGUAUUUAAGGAAGAGUUGAAAGAGAAUUACUUUUCUCUCUUCUAAUUCUUGUAACCGCCGUGACCCUCCCCUACUCAAACCUAAGAUUUUAGUUUUUGAUCUUGAGUUUUCGGUUCAAGAAAGGUGAAAUAGCAAGUAAGUGGUUCUCUUUCAUAUUACUUUUGAUUAUAGGUUGUUUAUGGAAUGAUUAAAGAAGAGAUUAGGGUUUUUAAGGCUUAGAAUUUUAUGUUGUUAAGAUUGAUUUAUGAUUAUUAAGGGUUAAUUUAAUAUUAGGUGAUUAAUUAGUAUGUUGUUAGAAAUAAGAAUUUGUGAGUUGAUUUGUUUAAAUUAAUUCUUAUGGGGUUAAGAAAUUCAUUUUUACCUUUCUGGAAAAUCUGGACGGAAUGGUCUUGAGGUUGAAGAUAAUCAAAUUUUAUUUUGGUCCUUGAUUUAUGAAAAUUUCAGUUUAGUCCCUAAACUUUGGAAAAUUACAAUUUGACCCCUAAAUGUAUUUUGAGAUUCUGGACAGUGUUAUUAUGAGGUUAAUGAUGAUGAAUCUCAGUUUUAUAAUUGAUUUGGAAUAUUUUUAGUUUGGUCCUUUAAUUUUGGGAAUUUACAUUUUAGUCCCUAAACUUCAUAAAAUUACAGUUCGGUCCCUGAUUCAUUCUAGACAGAAUUGAGGAUGGUUUAUGGGUGAAAUUUCAGUAUGGUUAUGCAUUUAUAGUUUGGUCUAGUUUUGAUAAAAUUACGUUUUGAUCCCUGUUUUGGAUAAUUGUCGUUUUAGUCCCUAAACCUAAGAGACUAAACAUGGUUUUAUUUUAUGCAUUGAAAUCUUUUAAUUGUGUUGCUUUGAGUUGCUUUUGAGUAUAUUUUGUAUAUUUAUUGUAGGUUCUCCUAACGAUCCUCAAUAGGUUUUUCGGGUCUUUCAUCUGAUAUUCCUUUUGGUUCUAUAUUUUCCGAGUGAGUGGGAUAAUCUUUAAUAUGCAUAUAUUAUUAUAAUAAAUAUGUAUGUUGAUUAUACAAUGAGUACAACUAGUUAAUUUCUUGAAUAUUUAUAUAUGUUGCUUUAUUGUCCGAGUACUCAUUUAUUCUUGAAUUUGCACUCGCAAUCUUCGAAUUAAAUUCUAUUUGAUAUGAUAUACGUUUCUUUGAUGAUUCUGUAAAUAUCUAUUAUGCCUUGAUAUAGGACCUGUCAGUAACUCCAUGCUAACGGAGAGUAGUUAGCCUAUGUGCACAUAGUAUUCUAUAUAUCUAGCUGGUGAGAGAGGCAUUAGCCUGUGGCAACUGAUCAUCCCACAGUGGUCACCUUCGGGUGUCAUCUGGUCAUUUUUUAGUGUCAUCUGGUCAUCUUCGGGUGUCAUCUGAUCUCUGACAUGUAUUCCACUACGUUAUGAUAAUAUGUUUAGUAUGUAUAUGUAUAUCAAGAUAAAUCAUCUUGCAAACUAUUAAUAUCUAAAAUAUCUAAAAUGUAUAUUAAAUAUUAUUCCCUCACUGAGUUGGUUGAACUUACCCCUCAUUCUUAAUAUUAUUUCAGGUUCUUAGUUUCUGAAUAGCAGUUGGACUUGUAGAGUGUUCCUGCUUCUUCAAUUUUGGUCGGUAUGCCUUGCUUGUUUUGCGAGGCUUUCCUUUUAGUUUUGAUUCGAUGUCUUAGACACUCCACUAUUACCUUGUUUUAAUUAAGUUUGGAUUUUGACAAUGUAAUGGGUAUUAUAGAUUAUUGUUUUUGUUUUAAUUACUAAUGAGGAGUUUUAAACUAUCUUUUGGUUUUAUAAGUUUUGAAUAAUAUAAUAUUUCUGAAGAUUAUAAAAUGCUGCAUAUUUUUGAAUAAAUUGUUCUUUUGAUAUGUCUGUUCUAAGACUUAGCGUAGAUGAGGUGUCCUUUCGACACCGCUUCUACGUUGCCGAUCAUGGACCCGAGAUUCGGGUCGUGAUAUCUCUCCCAGGAUAGUGUGGAGAUUAGCACGGUUCAGUCGUGCUUGAUGAAAAAGAAGGAUACCCAUUACUGGACUGUUAGUGUCACAUCGUGGGUGAGAGAUUCGUGACAAUGAUCUGCUGCCGUUUCCUUUGAAUCGGUGGGAUGAAGGAGAUGAAUAGCUUGUUUUGAGACGACGCUUUUUCACCCGAAAAUGACUAUUUUAAUUUUGCCUCUAGAUUAGCUUUCGGUGUCAUUUACAAAACCGUUAUUGGUUUUCAAUUUAAUUAAUUUAGUUUUUAAUUCCUCUUUAACUUUUAAUUUUUUAAAAAAUUAUUCUUGAAAAAAUCAAUUAACCCCUUUAUAGUAUCACAAUCUAUUCACUUUGGUACUUGGAUUUUAAUUUCUUGCAAUGUUUACCCAAAUCAGCCCCAAACUUUAGUAUUUCUUCAAUUAAACCCCAACUUUUAUUAAUUAAACUAAUUCAAAGCUUAUGUAAGUCCCCAAACUUAUCAAUUCUUUCAAUAUCUGACCAAAUUAACUUCUAAAUUUAUAAUUACAUCUUUAUUGGUCCUUAAAUUCACAAUUUGUGUUAUCUUGAUCCAAUUCUCAAAUUAUUAUAUUUUCAUUUUUUAUUUUUAUUAAUUUUUUUAAAAAAGUUAAUAAAAAUAGGUUAUAACACAUGAUAUAUGGUUGGUUUAAAGGAACCGAUUGAUUUAUAUAUCAGAUUACAAAUCGAGAGGAAUCACGGUUGUUUUAUAAAACUGCGAAAAACUUUCAACCAUAGAUGUUUUAUUCAUGCGUGUUUGAAAUGUGAAUCAUAUUGUUUAUUCUUACUAGGAAAGGCCUUUUACCUGUUCCGGAAGCUCUGUUAGCAAUCUUUCUGUUACUAAUAUAUAUAUUUUUCAAUUCAAUUUUUCCUUCUCCAGGAAACAUUUUAAAUUCCUCUACAUCCUUAGGCUUUGGUUCUAUUGAAUGCCACCUUCCAUAAUCGACCAGCGCAGCUGCCAUUGGAUGAUUUGAUUUACUCUCGAUGCUUGAUACCCUGAGAAACUUGCAUAAACAAUAUUACUUGCCAGUGAAGAGUAAAGUUCGCCAUAAUUGAAGAAUUAUGGACCUAGUCUUCACCAAUAAAGUAAUGCUAGUGGAAUCACUGCUACGCCAGCUGUCAUGAAUAUGAACAGUGAACUAAAAUGAAAACUUUCCCACAAAAUGAAAGGUAGGAUUGUCUAGCAAUGGAGCUGACGGUUCAUUCUAAACGAAUGAUGUGAAGGGCUGUCCAAAUACAGUUUUUGGGGGAAAAAAAGAAAAAUCCAACCACAUCAAUUUAAUAAAUAAAUUGAACCGAUUUGAAUGGCAUGUUCAAAUUAAAUGUUACGAUUCACAGUUUAAUUCAAUUCAUUUUUUUUUUAUUAAAAAACCCAAUUUCAUCCUUGGGUUUUUUAGUUGAUCUUUUUAGAUAGACUCUAAUGUAAUGUGCAUGGCUUCUUUUUUUUAGGUUUUUUUAAUUUUUUAUUUUUAAAAAUCAAUUGUUUGGUUUCAUUCCGGUUUAAUUAUUUUUUAUUCUCUUAAAUCUAAAACCAAUUUAAGAUCUCUUAAAACUUUCUAAUCGUUUUUUUUUAAUUUGAUAUUGGUUGGUUUUUUCAAUUAAUUUUAUGUUGAUUUUUUAAAGUUAUUUGGUUAUUUUAUUCACUCAUGGAUAUAAGUAUCUCGUUAUAAGAACUAAAAAGAAAAAAAAACAAUUACAUGUCGCAGCCAUGUUUUCACAUGGCCUCCGUAAAGUUCGAACAUUGAAAUGGACUCUAGACAAUAAGAAACUGUUUGUAAUUUUAGCAGAAUUGUUUUUUAAAAUGCCUUUUGUUUUAAAAUAUAUUAUAAUAAUAUUUUUAAAAUUAUUUUUAACAUCAAUAUAUCAAAAUCAUCUAAAAAUAUUAAAUAAAUUAAUUUUUUUUUAUGAAAAUCCGGUUCAACUGCAGGGUUAAAGAUGUGUUUAGAAGUAUGGUAGUGGUAGUUUUUCAAAGUGAUUUUUACUCGAAAAUAUAUCAAAAUAAUAUUUUUUAUUUUUAAAAAAUUAUUUUGACAUCAGCCCAUCAAAACAAUGUUCAUAAAAUUGAGCAUCAACCUAAAAAUAAACACUUAUUUGAAAACAUUAUUCCUCGAAAGCAAACAAAAAGCAAUAAUGCAGUUCAGUUACUAACCAAAUCAAUAUUAAAUGAUAAAAUAAAAUAUUAAAAACAAUUAAAAGACAAAAAAAAAAUAUUCUAAUGGUGAGUAAACUCAUCAAACCUGUGAAUCGAGUAAGCCGAGCUAAUAUGUCAAACCUAUAAAUUGGGUCAUAGACUCUACUGGAAUUAUAAUUUAUUUUUUUUAUUAUUUUUUAUUUAAUUAUAUGAUAAUAAAAAUAGAUAAUUACAAAAUCAAAUACCAAUUUAAUAUCGAGAUUUUUUUAAAUCGUGAUAACAUCACAAAAUGUGAAACAAAACCAAUUAUGAAACUAAAUUUACAGUUAACUCAAUAUCCAAUAAUGAAAAAAAAAACUAAUUUAAAAAAGUUAAUCUUGUCAAAUCCACGAACCAAGUUAACUAGCCAAACAUAUCCUGAAAUUUAUAAAGUUUAAUAAAAUAACUUCUUUUAAAAUUUAUUUAUUUUAACUAUAUAAGAAAAAAAUAAACGAUAAAAAAGUCAAGUUUGAUUAAAAAAAAAAGAAGACACCCCCACCAAACUCAGUAAAUUAGGGCAACUUAGGUUACCUAGCAAACCCAUAAACUAUGUUAACCUUAUAGAAAUGUAAAAUAAAAAGAAAUAAAUUAUAAAGUUAAAUUCUCAACCAUCUUAAUAUUAAAAGAUAAAAUCGACAAAAAUAAAUUCGAGAAAAAAUCAUAACAAAAAUUAAAAAACAAAAAGAAAAAUGAAAGAAAGCAAAACACUAUGAUUACUAUUGUCAUUCACAGUGCAAUCUGUGCAGGUGAAUAAUGGUUUUCUCACACCCUUUAAUUUUUGUUAUUGUAUAAAGUUGAAUAACAUGAUUUUAUAUAUAUAUUUUUUAAUUAUAUGAGCAAAAAAACUCAUAAAAAAGUCGAGUUCAAUUUUUUAAAAAAAUACAACCCACUAAACUCGUAAACCAGAGCACUCUAGGUUACCUUAGUAAGCUCGUAAACUACACUAAUCUCAUGUAAAGGAAAAUCAAAAGAAGCAAAUUACGAAGCUUAUUUUUCAACAAUCCCAAUUUUAAAAGAUAAUAUUGAUAAAAAUAUAUUGAUAUCUGAUUUCAGUCUGAUUAUCUGCGUAAAAUAUCUCAGAAGAUGCUUGCAAUGGAGAUCAAGUCUCAAAAUACCAUACCCACCGACAAUGGAUCGAGAUUUGACAAAUUAAUACAAUGCUGUACCAAACUAAUACAAUCACCAACGACCCAUCAAAAGUGAAAUGAUGUUUGCUAGAGUAAUGGAUGUCUAGUGCAGCAACUGCUCCAGAUGGUCCUAGCAGUAUAUCGAGAUUGUUUUCAGGGACAUUUUUAAAGACAUUGGAAACGACAAUCUUGCAGCGAUUAAUGCCAAGUAUGAACACGUCAAAUCUAAGCUAAGAAAUCAUGGUUUUGUUGAGCUUUGCUAUCAUCAGAGGCUUGAUGAUGGAAGGAUUAUUGUACUCCCUUACAAAACAUAUAAUGCUGUGCUGAUGAGCCAAAGAAGUUCUCCGUAGACUUCCUAACUAAGAGGAAGUUGCCAUCUAUUUCUAACUCAACAAGGAAAAGAGUCUUGGGCAAGUCAAACAUGAAUUUUGACCAGUUAGGAAACCAAUGGCUGGCAUGUUUUUGGGUGUUUUCUUUUUUUGUUUUCUGAGAGCCAUAACUGGCAUUUUUGUUCUCUCAUCAAGUGCAGACGACACCAAAGGCAGAACACUCUGGUGUUCUUGACAAUUCGACACAUUGCUUUCUGAGGAUUAGGUGAAUAUGGUUCAGUCUAUGCCAUAAGUAUGUCAAGCUACCAUUAUUUUUUAUUUUUAUUUUUGUAUUCUUUUUUGAACAGUAACAAAAUUCAUUAAUUUAGGAAAGGGCAAAGCCCAGAUAACAAAUAACAUCCACACUUGCAAGGAUUUAUUCGUCAGGGAUAUUGAUUUGUUCGUAUCCUAUCUCUUUGAAAAAAAAUGUGGAUUAAUUAAUCUAUGCUCAGUAUAGUAUUUCCAGGACUAUUCUUUCUUUAAUAUGUUAAUUAACACCCCGAGCCUGCCCAGUUUUUUUUUUUUUUUUUUGUAGUUUGCUAAUGUGAUGUAGAAUUAUAUAUAAAUCAAUCUCAUCAGAAGAUGCAAAUAUGGGCAUAAAAUAUAUCGUGGGAACUUCAAUUUAGUCGCUGAAAUAUACUUAACUUCAUAAAAAUUGAAUUCUCAAAUAUUAAGAAAGAAAUACAAUACAAAAUAGCAGACUAUACAUUACAUUCAGGUAAGAAUUCACAUCCAUGCCCGUAUAUAUUAAAGCACUACUAUCUUGGUGAUAAGCUGCCAGCUGCAUUCAUUUUCUUUUUUUUUUUUCUGACAAAUAUACUUGUUAAGUUACAUUGCAUACAAGUAAGAAUUCAUAUACAUUCCCAUAUUAAGCUCUAUUAUUUUUGUGAGCUUCGUCCAUUUUCUUGAUUUCUGACGAGUAUAUUUAUCGGCGAAAGACAACAGAAAAUUGUGCAGACCACACGUUUAUCCACAAUGCAGCAAAACAAACACUAUUCUGCAGAAGCUUUAAAUGACCAAUCCACGGCUUUCUCCAGUCUUGGAGUUUCUACUGCAUAUACAAUUGUUAAAAGAGCCAAUUUGUUAUUAGUCUUGGAAACAAAAACAAUAUAGAGAGAUAUUUUUUUUAAAAAAAAAAAAGACUGCUUCAUAGUUUCUGCAGUCUUUACAAGAUGAGUGCUAUUCAUUUUCAAGUAAUACAGGAAAGCAAUGUAUGAUAAGUAGUGGAUAUAAACUUUGAAUGUACAGUAAGUAUAUUCAAUGAAUGCAAUAAAAAAAAAAUUUCAACGAAAAUGAAGUGAAUGAAAAUUAGUGCACAAAUCAAGUGUUCAGGGGUUCAAAUAUGAGCCAUAGUAAGUUGGAGACUUGGAUUAUCGACAUUUAGUUUCCACUAUCCUUGAGUUAUUAUUAAAUUAAUUUCACAAACCAAGUUAAUUGGUUACUAAAUGUAUACAAAAAAUUAUUAGGCGAUUUUUUUCCCCCAAGAAUCAAAGUCUAAUAACAUUUUAAAUUUCAAUUUCAUGAUUGUUAUUUUUUAAUUUUAACAAAGUAUCAUUAAAGAGGUAUUUAUAUGAAAGCAAGUUAAUUUUAUCCAUUGGUUAAUCUUAAGAAUUAGUGGUAAGCCAGAUUUAAAGGUGGAUACAGUUCAAAUUUCAUAUCUUUACAAGGGAAGUUGUAAGAGGGAUGGUUGGAUCAAGCAUUGUAGUCAAAGCAUCUACAAAAGAUACUCCAGCAAAAGCAACUUUAAACAAAUCAGGCCUCAUAUUAAGGACGGAGCCGAUAAGCAACCCCCCUGCAUUCCUUCCUUCAAUACACAGUUUUUCCUUUGCACAGAACCUCUGUUCUAUUCAAUACUCAGCACAUGCAAUAAUAUCCGUGAAAGUAUUCUUUUUCUUUAAGUACUUCCGAUUCUCGUACCACUGCCUUCCCAUUCCACCACCUCUACGAAUAUAAUACCCCAAGCUAUAGAAGUCAAAAUCAAGAAUAAAAAAUAACUAAAUCAUAGCUAAUCUAGCUUUUUAAUAGUGUAAAUUUUUUUAAAAAAAAUUUAUAAUGGAGAAAGAUAAACAAAAUCAGAAAGCAGGGCAGGUUGGGGGAUUUGGAUCUUUGCCCAAAACUUUUGUGAUGUUUUGAAAAUAAAAGUGGAUAUAAAAAGGUAACAAAGGGGCUUGGAGGCUUGGAAGGAGGUAUAAAUUAUAAAACUUGAUAUAUAUAUAUAUAUAUAUAUAUAUAUAUAUAUAUAUAUAUAUAUAUAAAGGAAAUAGGGAUCUGAAAAUUGAGGGUGAGUGACAGCAGGAGAGAAGAAAAGGGAAAGAAGAAAAAGAGAAAAGAAGGAAAGAUAAAGGAAGGAAAAGAGAGUUAAAGAAAAUAAGUAUAAAGGUAAAAUUUAGGUUUUGAUAUGCAUAAAUGUUCUUUUUUUUAGCUUUAAAUUUCUGUUUUGUUGAAAAUUAGUGUUUUGAAAAUUUUGUUUUUGGUUGAUUGAUAAAUUAAUUUCAAUGUUAUGAGUUGUUUGUUACGAGUAAUUAAUUAUAUAGUUGAUUUUGAAAGAUUUUAGGUAAAAAUAAUGAUUUUGAGUUAUGAUUUGUUUAAAUGAUGAAUUUGAGUUAGAAAUCUUGAUAUAAUAGUAGGUGAUAUGUGGAAAUUCUGGUUUGAGGUUGAAGAUGACAAACUUCCAGUUUGGUCCCUUAAUUUUUAAAAAUUACAGUUUAGUCCCCAACCUUUGAAAACAUUACAUAUUGGUCCCUCAAUUUGUAAAAAUUACAGUUUCAUCCCUCAAUUUGUAAAAAUUACAGUUUAGUCCCCAACCUUUGAAAACAUUACAGAUUGGUCCCUGGAGCAUAGUCCGACAUGAAUUUAUGACAUUUUCAAUUUGGUCCUCCCAUUUGGUGAAAUUACAAUUUGACCCUAAAAAUUUGAUAAAAUUCCAGAAUGAUCCCUGGAGCAUAAUUAGAGAUUCCGGACAGAAUUGAGGAUGAAUUUCCAGUAUAGUCAUGAAUUUAUGACAUUUUUAGUUUGGUCCUCUAAUUUGACAAAAUUAUAAUUUGACCUCUAAAAAUAUGAUAAAAUUCUAGAUUGGUCCUUAGCUUUAAUAUUAGUUUUUUUCAUAUUGGUUUGAUGAAUAAUUGAGAGUCAUUUAGUGAAUUAUCAUCAAGUUUUAUUAUUUGUUUUCUUAUGACUUAGGGGUUUCGGGAAAACCGUUUAACUUUUUUGUUUUUGAAAAACAUUACUAGUUGAGUUCAAAAAUAUAUAAGGUUAUGGAAUAAACUUUUAGUUAAAUAUAUUAAAUAAGUUGUAUAUUCUUUUAUUUUUAUAAAAAUCAAGAAUCUUUGAACAGUUUGAAGGUCUUCGUAACCUCAAGAGGUAAGUAGCACAUUCACAUCAAGAUUGAUGAGAAUUUCUUCAGCUAAGUAAUUGGUAUAGCAACUUCACUUUCAGAGAUUAUUCUGUAUGUUCCACUGUUUUUAUUCAUGAAUAUUUUCAUGGCAAUAAUUGCAUGAAACAAUGGACCAUCUCUUCAACUGCUGAGCUUUCCUUUAUAUUUGCAGCUGUAAUUUGGGAUAGCAAUGUCUCUGACAUGAAGUUUGGAUGGCUUGAUCUCUUUGCAUCAAGAAUGUCAAGUUACUUAAAUGUAUUAUUCACAAGGUGACUACAAGAGACACAUUGGAUGGUGCUGGGCCCAUGAAAGCUUGAUCUGUUUUUUGUUCGUUGUUCAAUUGAGGAUUUGUAGAUUGUUCCGUUCGAUCCUCUGUCCUUGGAUCAUUCAUGGGUGUUUUGACAUGUACUUAUUUCACUCUUAAUAAAGUAUUUCCCAUUAUUAGUGCUUAAUUUUUCAAUCCAAACCUUGGUUUUUUACCUGGAUCAAUUUGAAUCUGAAAGAAGUACCAAAAUCUAGUGUUUCAAGUACUCAGUGGUUGCAGGGGACAGCUCUCCUUCCUUCGAACUCUGGUUCGAGUCCCAGUAAAAGUGGGGCUGGAGAGUUUGUUCCCCUCGUCUCUAUUGAGUCCUCCCUGUACGGUAUGCUUGUCAUCCCCGCGGUGCCUUACAUGCUCACUGGGUUUGCAGGAUGUUCAGUGAGCCGUGGAAUUAGUCGUGGUGCGCGCAAGCUGCCCGGACAACCACGUAAAAAAAAAAAAAAAAGUUAACAGAAAUAAAUGUACCUUUGCCUGUCCCUUCAACAAAAUGCUGAGCUGUAUAUUAAUUCUCAGAGGCAGUGAUAACUAGCUGUUCUAACUAAUCCCUAUACUUUUAAAUAUUUUUACAAUGCGGUCCCUUCAUUAAUUUUUCGUUAGUAAGAUGUUGAGCUUUCAGCAAUAUUUCCUUAGUUUGUGCCGCUAACUUAACGGUAAAAUGUAAUUCAAGGAUCAAUUAGUUAUUUGAAUGAACUUGAGGGAUUAAUCUGUUUGUUUAACACAAAUACAGACACUAGUUAAAUAGAAUUUAACUCAAAUUUUAAUUAUCAUAUGCGUGCGUGCGUGCGAGCGAGCAAGCUAGUGUUUACUCGUUAAUUUUUUUAGAAGGAAUCUGGAAAAGAAUAAAGUCAUCCAUUUCACUUGGGCCCAGCAUUCCUCACCUCUCCCCGCCCGAGCUCUCACUCCCUCCCUCCCUCCUCCGCCUCUCGGAAACCGCCGCCGCCAAGAAGGCUUCAGAUUUCUGCCAGGUGCUUCUAUUUCUAUCAUGUUUUUGUUUUUAAAAUUUAUGGGUGUUUUCAUUUAUUUUAUUGUAAUUAUUACUCAGAGACAGAAAUUCUAUUUUAAUAAGUAAAUUAAAAAAAAAUAAUCGAUCCGAUGAAAUCUCUGCUAGUGAACGCAAUUCGAAUUUAAUAAGUAAAUUAAAAAAUAUAUAUAAUCGGAUCCGAUGAAAUCGUUGCUCGUGAACGAAUUCAAAGAAACGCACAAUCAGCCGAUUCUAAUAAUUUCUUUUUCAAUUUUUUCCCCUUAAUUUACAUGAUAUUAUCCGAUUUUUCUCACAGUUAUUGUUGUAAUAAUCAAGCCCUGAAUUCUUGAACCCAAAUUUAUUUUAUUUUAUUUUAUUUUUUAGUGGAGAAUAGAAAUCAAUUCAAAUCUUUUAGGCUCGAUCGAUAAUUUGUUAAUUAGUUUAUGCAGCAGCUGGAGUGGAAGAGAUAUUACAGCCGGAAUGGCCGAAAAAUGAGCUGUUUGGUGGAUUCUUCUUUUUUGGAAUUUACUGAAUUCUUCAAAAUUAUUGUGUUCUUAACAACAAUACGAUAUCCUUGGGUUUUAUGCUCGCUCACACAUGGAAACAAGAAAGAAAGAAAAGAACUUUAAAUUUUAUAAUUUGGUCAUGUUAACGUGAAAAAAAUAAAAAUAACAGGUCUGCCUUGAUAACCCUACAUGAUAUAUCUUUCUUUUUAGGACUGCUCAGCUGGUCUUGAGUAUGAGGUGAAAGCUUGAGUAGGACAGAUAGUCCUAACCAAGGACUGUAUUGUGAUUGAUUGAGUUGAAAGUUAAGAGCAUGUGAAAGUGUAAAACAAAUGACCUAGUUCACUUCACCCCAAAGGCGCACCUGUGCAUCUAGUUAGGAAGAACAUUUUAUAACUUACCUCAAGGUCGAGCAUGGUCAAGGUUAUUGUGUUGUCAAUUCCGAGAAAGAUGUGCCUGCAAAUUUAAUCUUAUUUCAACAAGAGUUGUUAAGUUGAUUCUUAUCAGUCUGCUCUUUAGAGUUGAUGAUAACAUGAAAUAUUCAUGGUUAAUGCUUGUUGUUUUCUUCUUCAUUUUCCUAGCUUAAAACAUCCUAGACAAUCUCUUCAUGUUCUAUUUUCUGGGAUAUUUAGACUGCUGAUAUUCAUCGGGGAUUGAAAAGCCUUGUUUUAUUACUUUGUUUUGUUUUCUUCUUCUUUCUUUAUUCUUUUGGGGAUGUGGUAUUCUCCUCUUUCUAUUUACACUAUUUCCUCCACACAACAUUUAUUCUUUCAGAAAAGUUAAUUCAUACAUAAAUAACAAGAACGGGGGGGUUUGACGGUAUGUAUUUGGUUGCGAGUAAAAAUUGGUAAGCACUCGAAAAAGGUCCUGUGCUGAAUCUAAAUUGGUAAGAUGUGAUAUACUGAUAUCUAGAAAGAUAACUUAAUCUAUCUAUUGAAGUAAAGCAUUUAAAUGCGUAUACAAUGUUUUUGGAACAUUAAAUAUCUAUUUGAUCAGAAUCUGUGAACCUAAAACCACAAUGAAUACAAAUGCAAGUUUGUCAUUGUAAACAUUGCAUCAAUGAUGCAUCACGAGUGUUGCUAGAAAACAUCAAGUUAAAAUUGAAGCACCAUGAGUUUCUCUAUGGCUUGGUUUACCAACACUCACCAUCUGUUGGUGCGGCAAUUUAUGAACUAGCUGGCUAGUUUUUUGCUUCCUUGGUUUUAGAAGCACCAUGAAGAUUCAGGCCCAAAUCUUGCUUAUAAUACCCGUCUACCUGAAUACCCAAGAUCCUAGCACCUUGCCUUGAAUGGUCGUGUAUAUUUGUUAUGGCUGUUCAGAUUUUAUGCAUCCAUAUUUGGUAGAAUUCUUUAAUAAAGUACAUGCUAUUAGAUGGAAGUUCUUUUUAAAUCUAUUCAAGUCUGAAUAAACUGAUAUUCCAAUUUUCAUGACUUUGAUGUGCUCUUACUCUUCUGUUGUUCCUGACUUUCUUUUUAGGGUCUAUUCUAACAUGCAAUAUAAUUAAUUUUUUUUUUUGUGAUAGAAGUGAUUUUUUUGGUUGGCCAAACCCCAUGGAUGCCAAUAAUUGGAGGUCCACUGCCCCAGGUGGAGAACCUGUGAUGGACACAGGUGAUUGGAGAACUCAACUGCAACCUGACUCACGGCAAAGAGUAGUCAACAAUAUGUAAGUAUCUGUUUCCUAAUAUGUGCAAGUGCUGCAAAAUAGUAAAUCUUGUAUUUAAAUGAAAGAAAAAGAGAAGGGCAAAAGGUUAAUUAAAAUCAGCAGGACUGCCAUGAGGCAACCUCAAGUAUCAUACACCUCUGUUUUUGUCUUUUUCAUUUUUCACGUGUUUCUCACAAGAAGUGAACUUGAGGGAAUAAAAAGUGCUGGGAAGUAAUUUUUGUUUGAACUUCUUGUGUAACAUAUUGUUUUGAUGAUGACCUCUAGGAUGGCUGCAUGAAGCUUGUCCGCUUUAAAUUUCAAGGUUAAUCUAUUGCUAUGAGCAUUGGUGUUUCAAUUUCAACCUUGAGUUGCAACUGAACUUAAAUGAAUAGUGUUGGAUUUGAGCCUUCUAUUUGCUUUAACUUCUACAGGGUUGAAAUGAUAGUGAUCUUAAAGUACAAAAGCAGCUGACAAAAAUCAUUUAGCCACAAUAGUGCAUGGUUUCCUAGUUUCUCAGUAUAAACUAUAAAGUUGAAUGUUUUGGUGAUAUCUCUACAUCCAAAUUCAUAUAGACAGCUAGUGUUGGCACUUGCUGUAGCCAAUGAGCACUGUAGAGUAUAUAUUGCAAAGUGAGAUAAGGUUAACUCAUUGCAUUUUAAUAAAUUAAAAGGAUUUCUCUUCUUUUCUUUGUCAAUUACAGUGCAUGUAUAAAAGUUUUCUUACUCAGACUAAAUGCUAUUGUAAUGUUUUCAUAGAGUUCCCCUGGUUUGCAACUAAUGCACUUAUAUACCGUGGAGCAUAGCCAUAGCCAUAAAUGGAAGGUUCUUCCAAGAAAAUUAACCAUGAAGCUCGUAACUAGAAUUUUAGACAGAAGGGUGGCCAACUGAACUACUAUACCCUGUACCUCUGGAAUAAUACGGGGAAAGGAAGUAAAAAUAGAUGUCUGUAUGUUGAUGCCAUAUAUUACUUGAUCGACACUCGGCUAUAUCAUUAUUUGUUUUUACUUUUUGCUAAUGAUUCCGUUGUAUACAUUUCUGAUAUUGGUGUGGUGUAUGAGUUCACGGUUCUUUCUCACUGCUGCUAACUUCUCUAUACCUGCCUUGUCAUUAAAAACUAAAUGUAAUGUUUUACAUGUGUAGAAUGGAGACAUUAAAGAGGCAUCUUCCGUUUUCUGAUCAAGAGGGAUUACAAGAACUCAAGAAAAUUGCCGUACGGUUUGAGGAAAAGAUUUAUACUGCUGCUACCAAUCAGGUAUUCGGCUAAUGCUAGGUUCAAUAAUUUCGAUACUCUCUAGACAUGAAUAUACACAUGCAUAGGUUCAAUAAUUUCGAUAUUCUCUAGACAUGAAUAUACACAUGCAUAAGUUUGUGGAUUUAUGUAUGUACACGUGUGUGUAGUGUGUCCACACCUCCUCACUGGUCAUUUUGUAGAGGUUCUCAUCUUUUCGUUAAUUCUCUUGGCAAGUGUUUUAUUUAGAGUGACCAAGGUCCUUUUCAAGUACAAGGGAAGUGUGCAAAAUGCAAAUAACGAAUCAAUACAUAAAUAAUUAAAUAAAAAGAGAGGACACAGAAGUAUAUCCUCACAGAAGAUGCAAAUACAAAGAGCCUAGCAUAUUAGAAAGAGCAUAAAUCCCUUUUCCCCCUUCUCUUGUAACAUGGAUUGCGCAGAGAUCUAAUCUUUUGUUAUUGAUAUCUGAUUUCAGUCUGAUUAUCUGCGUAAAAUAUCUCUGAAGAUGCUUACAAUGGAGACCAAGUCUCAAAAUACCAUACCCACUGGCAAUGGUAACAAACCCCUGGAUCCAGGAGGUAAUAAUGCAGCCAAGCAUUGAAUUUCUAAACAUCCUUACCUUUUGUUUUAUAUUUCGCAUUGUUAUCAAACUCUUUUACAUUUGAUUGCUGCAUAUUGCUAUGUAUAUACCAUGCUUUAAUAAAAAAGUUGAGUAAUUGAUGAAUGUUCAAAAAAAUUACAGAUUAUUUUUGUACUUUUAUGCUUUGAGGUAAAACCAUCUUAAUUAUUUCCCUCAUAACUUUACGUGUGAACUGUCAUUGUUUCAUUUGUUUUUCUUGCUCAAUGCCUUCUUUUUUUCCUUUGACAUGGUUUUCCUUUUUGCCUUCUAUCUUGAACAGCAUCUCAUAGUAUGCCGCCUCAAGCUCACAACCAAGGGCAGUCGCUCCCUAUCUCAUUGCCCACUAAUCAGUCUCAAGCAUGUCAGCAGUUAUCACAGAACAUGCAGAAUAGUAUAUCAUCUAAUGCCUUCUGUUUCCGGUUUAACCCAGACUAUCUCAAACACUGUUGGACAGAAUGCUAACAUGCAGAGUAUCUCUGGUGUUUCACAUAACCCAGUGGGGAAUUCAAUGGGACAAGGGAUUCCCUCCAAUAUGUUUGUCAAUUCUCAGAGACAAAUGCCAGGCAGGCAACAGGUUGUUCCUCCACAGCAACAGCAGCAGUCCCAAAAUCCUCAGCGGUAUCUUUAUCAGCAGCAGAUACAACAACAGCUUUUAAAGCUCUCAUUUUGAAUUUAUCGGACAUGAAUUUUAAAAAUAUAUGUAUAACUGGACAAUGCAUUUGACACUAUGGUAACUAAUCAUCAGCCAAUUGAUUUUUAUGGGAAGAAAGAAAUUAGCAAGUGGACUAACUCUGAGGCACUUAAGGUUUGGUGUGCUGAUAAAUCAUCACCUUGCUGGAAAAUCUCAUGAUCACCUCCUCGAUGCUAAUUCUGUAAGGCAUGUGAAGUGUUUCAUCCUUAACUUGUCAAGGAACAAGGACUCUGAUGCAUGGCUAUCUAUAUUUUAUGAUUGAGAUGGUUUAGUUUAAAGAUUUUCCUGGUUAGGAGGUAAAGUGUCACUUUUGUGCUUUUCUUCCAUGAUAAAUUGUUUGAGCCUUUUUUAAAAAAAAUAUAUAAUGAUCACUUGUUGGAGGAGGGUCUCUCUGUCUGUUUGAAUGAUUACAUAACGUUGAGAUGGAGUUCCUAGUACUCCAAGUCCAAAAGGACUUGUAUUCCUAUGUAAGAAAAUACUAAUGGUCUAUCUAGGAUAGGGAAAACCUAUUAAAGCUCCUUAUUCUUUAGGAACAAUAAAAUACUAAAUAGAAAUAAAACCAAGACCUACAAUAUUCCAUAAUUUUCAGCAAGUGUGAAAAUUACAGAAAUACCCUUGUGUGCAGAAAACAUUCAAAAAAUACAUGAAUUCUAAUCUUUGGUUGGCUGUAUCAAAAUUUUUGUAGCAUCCCUAGAUUCUACAGCAGAGACUGGACAUUCAAAUGGUGCUGAUUGGCAAGAGGAGAUCUACCGAAAGGUAAUUUCUGUAGUUUACUGUUCAUGCAUGUCAUCGUCUUGCAAGAUUUCAAUGGAAAAGGUCUCCUGGAAUUUGGUACAAGGGAGUUUUAUUCAGCUAUUGUUGUGAUUAGUUAGGAAGCAUUGUAAGUUCCAUGAUUGCCGUAACUAAGAAACGAUAAAUUACUGAUAAGAUGAUUAAAGGUAAAUAUUCAGAUUUCUAGGUCAAGAGGGUUAUUUUCUUGGUACUGAUUUUUUCUAUUGCAAAUCUCUCCCUUUCAAUUUUUUCCCUGUAUUUCCAUACAUUUAUUGUGUGGUGAAUUAUUAUUUUAUUAUUUCCAAUAAGUCCAAUUGACAAUACUUCUUACUGUAAUAGACAGACUAGAAAACAAGAGUGAAUUGUUUCUGAAUAGUCAUCGUUAUAUUUGGUUAAGUGAACAGUUAUUUUCAGGAUUACAAUCAAAUUUGUUCUGAAACAUGUGACAAUGGAAGAAAGGAAAAUAAGUGGACCUAAUCCAUUGAAUCAUGACCAUGUCCAGUAUUGUUGAAUUUUAUAGAAAACGAGGUUGAAAUUCUGAAUCGUUUAAUGGCUGUAGUUGCAAUUCAUAACUGCAUAUUUGAAAUUUUUUAACUUAACUUUUUAUUUAAUUUAAAUUUUUAAUUAAAUCAUGUGAGAAUUAAUUUAAUUUAAAUCGAUUAAUUUUAUAAGUUCAAAUACAAUCUUAAUAAUCGAUAAAAAUAUGAUUUAACUUUAAAAAAAACUUCAAAAUUAUAAUUUUUUAAAAAAUUAUUGAAAUAAUGACAAAUUGGAUCACCCCCGACCUGGAUCAUGAACUUUAUUGAGUUUCAUAAAUUUUUAUAUUUAAUUAUAUGAUAAAAAUAGAUGCUCAUAAAAUUAAACAUCAACCUAAAAACUAGCACUUAUUUGAGACAAUUAUCCUAUAAAGCAAAUAAAAAUUAAUAAUGUAAAUCAUUUCCCAACUAAUUUAAUAUUAAAUGAUGAAAUUAAAAAGAAAUAAAUUAAAAAAAAUUAAAAGACCAAAAAAACAUCAUAUUGGUGGCUAAACUUGUCAAAUCUAUGAAUCAGGUAAGUUCAGUUAGUACACUAAACAUGUGAACUGGGUUAUGGACUCCACCGGGAUAGUGAUUUUUUUAAUUUAUUUUUUAUUUAACUACAUAAUAACAAAAAUAGAUGAUUGUAAAAUCAAACACCGACCCAAUAUCGAGAUUUUUUUAAAUUACAAUAGCCACGCAAAAAGCAAAACGAAACUAGUUAUGAAACGGAAUUCCCAAUUAAUCUAGUAUAUAAGGAUAAAAAAAACUAGUUUAAAAAAUUAAACUUGUCAGACUAGCAACAUAAGUCAAUCAGUCAAACAUGUGAAUAGGUCCAUAGACUUUAUAAAGUUUAAUAAUAACUUUUUUAAAAAACUAUUCUUUUUAACUAUAUAUAAAGUUUAAUAACAUAACUUUUUUUAAAAAAAAACUAUUUUUUUAACUAUAUAAGAAAAAAAUAGACAAUGAAAAAGUCAAGUUCAAUUAAAAAAAGAUAUCACAACAAACUCGUAAACUAGGAUAACCGGGUUAUCCUGGCAAACCAUGUUAACCUUAUAGAAAGGUAAAAUCUAAAGUUAUAAAGCUAAGAAGUGUUUACCAAAGUCGUGACAUCCAUUGACUUGAGUGAGAACAAUAGAAAACAAUGGUGAGUAGUUUCCGUGAGACAAAGUAACUGAACUUGACCAACCCCUGAAUCUUGUCUGAAGGGGUAACUACACAAUCCUUUGCAUCUUUGCAUGCAAUCAAUAACUAUAUUCUCUAUUGAGUUUUCAGCAUUGAUUCCACUCUGCUAUUAUAUGCUGUCCUCUGCCAUUUUAUUUUUUUAUUUUUUUAUCAAUUCUCUCAAGUUUGCUUAUGUUGCUUUCUGACUCUGGCACCUGAAGAAAUCAAGCAUAUGAUUGAUAAUGUUUUGCUGGUUAUAUGUACUUCCUAGAUCAAAGUUAUGAAGGAAACGUAUUUGCCUGAAAUAAAUGAAAUGUAUCAGAGAAUUGCUACCAAGUUACAGCAGGUAAAUUGUCUUUGUAAUUUUUUCUGAUUUAUUUGCUCACACAUGAUUCAUAAACCCCCACAGUUGAACUUUUGUAUUAAUUUUCCCCAUCAGCAUUGCUUGUCACUGUAUCAUCUGCACUAAUUACCCCCCCCCACCCCCAACCACCCCACAACCAUGCAUUGACACAGAAGAAUUGGAAUAGAAACAUUUUUUUCACUUAUGUUUUACUAGUUUAGCUACAAAGGGUCAACGCAAUUUUUAAUUCUCGUGUAUGUUAACUUUGCUUUCCAGCAUGACCCUCUUCCGCAACAACCGAAGUCAGAACAGCUUGAAAAGCUGAAGGUAUUCAAGGUCAUGUUGGAGCGCUUGAUAGCAUUCUUACAGGUCUCUAAAAGCAACAUCACACCUGCUUUCAAGGAGAAAUUGGGUUUCUAUGAGAAGCAGAUUGUAGGUUUUCUAAACCCAAGCAGAUACAGGAAGCCUAUUCCUAAUCUACAGCAAGGACAACUUCCCCAACCUCAUAUUCAACCUAUGCAGCAACCCCAAUCUCAAGUUCCUCAAUUGCAGUCCCAUGAAAAUCAACUGAAUCCCCAGUUGCAAUCAAUGAAUAUGCAAGGUUCUGUACCAAAGAUGCAGCAGAACAAUAUGUCAAGCUUGCUGCAUAAUUCGCUUUC